rnacentral:rRNA from 1 species
AUGGAGAUGGUGAUGCACCAGUUGCCGGACCACCUCGCCGGCCAGCUGGACUUGAUCCAUGGCAUUGUCUCCUGGCUCCGUUCUCAAGAAGCACCACCGCACCGGGAUGGAAGCUGUUUUUUCUGUGUGUGGAUUCUGAUUCUUUUUCUGUCUGAUGACCAGGGAGGUUUAUUUGACCGCAGGAGCCUCGUGAAUGCCAUCAAGGGUGCAGAUGUCGUGAUCUCGGCUCUGGGGCCCCGUCAGCUCGCCGAGCAGACGAGGAUUGUCAUGGCAAUGAAGGAGGCCGGCAAUGGCAUCAAGGUCAGAUUGUAUCAACUUGUCUUCUUUGUUGAUGGAAUGACGGCUGUGGAUCGACCACUGGAUAGGGCGAUGUACCGAGCUAACUUCGACGUCGAGCUGUCAUUUGGCGUCGAGGCCACCGAGCUGUACUCCGCCGUGAAGUGCACCACCGUCGACGAGUACCUCGACUGCCUCCUCUGA